rnacentral:rRNA from 1 species
AUCGAACGCUGGCGGCAGGCCUAACACAUGCAAGUCGAGCGGAUGAAGGGUGCUUGCUCCUGGAUUCAUCGGCGGACGGGUGAGUAAUGCCUAGGAAUCUGCCUUGUAGUGGGGGAUAACGUCUGGAAACGGGCGCUAAUACCGCAUACGACCUGUGUGAGAAAGUGGGGGAUUUUCGGACCUCACGCGAUCAGCGGAGCCUAUGUCGGAUUAGUUACUUGGUGGGGUAAAGGCCUACCAGGGAGACGAUCCGUAACUGGUCUGAGAGAAAGUUCAGUCACAUUGGGACUGGGACACGGUACAGACUCCUGCGGGAGGCAGCAGUGGGGAAUAUUGGACUGUGGGGGGAGGCCUGAUCCAGCCGUGCCGCGUGUGUGCAGAAGAUCUUAGGAUUGUGAAGCGCUUUAAGUUGGGGGAAAAGGAAGUAGGUUAAUACCUUGCUGUUUUGACGUUCCCAACAGAAUGCACACCGGCUAACUUCGUG